rnacentral:rRNA from 1 species
GAUGAACGCUGGCGGCGUGCCCAAUACAUGCAAGUCGAGCGAACAGACGAGGAGCUUGCUCCUCUGACGUUAGCGGCGGACGGGUGAGUAACACGUGGAUAACCUACCUAUAAGACUGGGAUAACUUCGGGAAACCGGAGCUAAUACCGGAUAAUAUAUUGAACCGCAUGGUUCAAUAGUGAAAGACGGUUUUGCUGUCACUUAUAGAUGGAUCCGCGCCGCAUUAGCUAGUUGGUAAGGUAACGGCUUACCAAGGCAACGAUGCGUAGCCGACCUGAGAGGGUGAUCGGCCACACUGGAACUGAGACACGGUCCAGACUCCUACGGGAGGCAGCAGUAGGGAAUCUUCCGCAAUGGGCGAAAGCCUGACGGAGCAACGCCGCGUGAGUGAUGAAGGUCUUCGGAUCGUAAAACUCUGUUAUUAGGGAAGAACAAAUGUGUAAGUAACUAUGCACGUCUUGACGGUACCUAAUCAGAAAGCCACGGCUAACUACGUA